rnacentral:tRNA from 1 species
GCCCGUGUAGCUCAGUAGGUAGAGCAUUCGCAUGGUAAGCGAAAGGUUCGGCGGUUCAAUUCCGCUCGCGGGCU